ACCAUCAACAAUUAAGCUGGUGGACAUUACCUUCAGGAAUAUUAGAGGAACAUCAGGGAACAAGGACGCAGUGAAACUAUUGUGCAGCAAGGGACAUCCAUGUGAGAACGUUGAGAUUGGAGACAUUAACAUUGACUACACAGGACCUGACGGUCCACCCACUUUCGAGUGCACAAACGUCACACCUAAGCUUGUGGGAACCCAGAACCCAAAGGCUUGCGUUGGACCUGUGGUCAAGGCUCCUGGCAAAGAGUAAAAUGCUGAAGCUCAUAUCAACACACUAGGGAAUUCCACCUCCAAUUUUGUUUAUUCUUUUUCUAAUCCUUUUUCAAGUCACAUAUGGGUGAGUUUUAGAAAACUGUAACAAAAAAAAAUGUAUAUUCGAUGCCAACACAUAUGUGUGAGUGCAUAAUGAUGUAAUUAAUAAGACUAAAUUAUAUAUUCUGCGUAAGUGCGUAUGAUUGUUUCUUUUUAAAAUAUUAAUAUGCGCGGUAAGUUGUAUACACUUCAAUCUUAAUUUUGUUUUCUUUUCCGAAUCUUAAAAUUAUUUAACAAGAUCUGAUUUCAAUCUUAAGAUUAAUUUAACUAAUACAGUAUUAGUUUUUUUUUUUUGAGAACUCAUUUUAAACUAGAACUCAAAUCAUUUCAAUAAUAGUUCACUAACAUAUAGUAUUCUUUCCAAGUUAUACUGAACUAGAACUCAAAGAUACACUUGUUCAUACAUAACCGAUGCAAGCAUUUGGACAACGAAACAUGACAUCGUCAUAAGUACACUGAUUGGAAAUGUAAUUUUCAAUCAAACUUUUGCUCUUUGCUUAUGAUCUCAUUGGAAAAAAUUUAACUUGAUAAUAUGAGGUGCAUAGUCUUCAUCUCUACUUUGGUUCAAUGCUCCUUAAUCAUGUUGGAUACUUUUUUAGGCUUCAAUAUAAAAAAGAAGUUCGGACAAAUUUAUUGAUAUUUCUAGUAAUAUUACUUCUAUGAUAUUGGUACUUCAAAAGAAUUAUGAGUUAUUAUAGAAACUAGGUUAAGAUCCAUGUUUUGCGCAUGAUGAAUUUUAUGUAUACAAAUGAUAUUUUUUUUAUUUUUAUUAUUUAUUUUGUGUUUAUUUACUUCAUAUUUAUAUAAUUAAAUUAGAGUAAACAUAUAAAUCAAAACUAUACAUCCUUUUAUUUAUAUUUUUUUUAUAAAUAAAUCAAAACAAUCAUUUUAUUUAUUUUAUAUGAAAUAUAAUUAAUUUGAAUGAUAAUGACAUAGAUAUCUAGUAAAAUUUAAUAUAACUUAUUAAUUGAGAUUUCCUACUCAUAAAAUUUUAUUAACAUUUAUAUAUAUAUAUUGCUGUAAAAAAAAUUAAACCAUCAAUUACAAAACUUUCAAUGUGAGAUUUAUUUUAAUACAAAUUUUUAAAUUAAAAUAUUAAGGUCUCAAUACUUUUAAAAUGUAAAUUUUGAAAUUAACAUGUUUAUGUAUUUUUAUAUGGUAUAUAGUUUAAUUUAAACGAUAUUAGGAUAUAUAUAUAUAUAUAUAUAUAUAUUUAUAUUUAUAUUUAUAUUUAAUAUGAAUAUCUAUUAAAUGAGACUUUAUAUUCAUACAAUUUUAUGAUAAUUUUGUAUCUUGUUAUAAUAAAAAAAAGUAGAUAAACCAUUGAUUACAAAAUUUCAAUGUGGGCUUUUAACUUUUUUAGUAAUUUAUAGUUUUUUUAAAUUCAUAAUAUAACAUAUAAGAAAAAGUCUAUAUUUUAAUCAUAUGGUUAAUGUGAUUGUAUAAUUACUUUUAAUAAUAUGAAAUUAAACAAAAUCGAUGGAGGUUACAAAAAUUGUUAUCAAAUCUUUAUUAUUCAUAAUCAUUAAUUUUCGUAUAUAUGGUAGUCGUAUUAGGUAAUUUCGUAACUUUUAUUUAGAUAAAUAAUGUAAAAUAUUCUUUUUAAUAUUACUAAUCAAUCUGAUAGUUAGUUUAAUAAUAAAAUAUAAUAUAUAUUUAGAUAGACCAUCUAUUUUUUCUAAGGAUCCUAAGCAUCAUUGUUGUAUUGAUACGUGGAUACAAAAAAAAUGUUGCAAUGCUUUUCAAUUAUAUAUAAAGGAUUAUGUGGUUGAAAGAAAUAAAAAAAAAAGUGCAAUGCAGUUAAGUAAUGAGGAACGAUUAAUUUUUGUUAUUAAAAGACGGAAGUCACGAACCACAUUAAUUAAAGUCAUCGAUUACUGACUGACCAAGCAAAGAUUAAAAAUAAAUUUUUUUUUGAAACCAGAUUAAAAAGAAAUUGACAACAAACAUACAUAUAUUAACGCAUAAAGUUACAAAAUACAUAUACAUAUUUGACAAACAAUAAUAGAAACGACGAAAUACAAACAAACACCUAAAACAAUUAAUUUUCAAAUACAGUCCAGCUUCUCCGAAAGUCGUCUCGUUUGCUUUUGAAAUGCUCUUUUUUAACUUAGUCAUAAACAUCUUCAUCUUUAUAACAAUAAUUAUUUCUUUUAUGAACUGGUUUGCCUUUUUCCCUUCAUGAUAUUGGGUUCAAUAGUUCCAACUUUUGCCUUUUGAAUUGUGUAAAUCUAUUUCACUAUUUGUUGACCAUUUGCAAUUCUUGCUUUUUUUUUUUUUUUUUUUGUCACUCUUGCUUUUCUUUCAUCAUAUCAUUUUUUGUUGUAUACAUUUCCCUUGAAUGAUGACUAACUUAUACAAAAUUGGAAUCACUUGCAUCAUUUUCGUGGAUUCUUUUAAACCCACUAUUUUAAUAGCAAAUAGUUACUUCUGCCUGACUACAAGAACCUAUUUAAUCACAGAUGAUGACGAGCCCCAUUCCAACAUGUUGAAAUGUAUAGUCUUGGCACUUGAACAUAGUUCAUGCGUUUUUUGUCAAUAUAUCAUUAUUCUCUGAUCAUCCCUUUUGUUACAUAGACGUUGUUAUUGUCAGUGCCAACCAUUAUUCCGAUAGUUUUUUCAUGUGGUGUAGUAAUUUUUCUAAACGAAGCAAUUAACAAUUUUGAAAACCAACCAAUGCUAACGUCCAUAUAUAUUUUCCGCAGCCUGCACAACAGGAUUAUCAGAACGUAAAUCUCCUGAAUUUCUUUAAGUUCUAGUACCUUAUAAAAUUCUACUAACAAUUUGAUAUCUUUUUUAGAUGGUGUAAAUGUAAUAACAUAAGUUGGCUAGAAACUAACCUCCCAAAAAUGGAGGUAUCAUGCAAAUGCUAUAAACACGAGUGGAACAAGUCUUAUGCCUAACAAUUGAACGCUAAUUUCCCAAAAUUAAAUUAACCUAGCUAAUACUUCCUUAAAACUGGGUCAAACAUUCUAAAAAAUGAGACGUUGGGAGAAAGUAUGGGCCUUCAACAUAUCUCUCCAUUUAAGGCACUAUAUAAAGCAGCAGGUGCGUAGUAAAAAUCUCAGAAAACAAAAUUAAAAAACAAUAAAAAAUAAAAAUAAAUAAAUAAAAAUGGGUUCAUAUUUGGGAAUCUAUACAAUUUUGGUUCUAUGUUUGCUAGGAUAUUCGGCCAAUGCUGAGGUGUUCACUGCUGGUGGUCCUCCAAAUUCUGAUAUUACCGCGGUUAGUAUCUUCACUUGUUUUUUAUUGCUUGCAUUCCAAUCAAUAUGUAAACCAUUUCUUAUAUUAACAUGCUCGUGGGAGCUAUUGUUGCAGGCAGUUCUUAAAGCAUUCACAUCGGCAUGUCAAGCUCCGGCACCAAGCCAGGUGCUGAUCCCAAAAGGUGACUUCAAGCUUGGUGAGACCGUGAUGACUGGUCCAUGCAAAUCUCCAAUCGAGUUCACCUUGCAAGGCAACGUGAAAGCUGACGGUGGCUCUACCCAGGGAAAGGAUAGAUGGGUUGUGUUCGAAAAAAUUAAUGGUUUUAAGUUGAACGGAGGUGGAACAUUUGACGGUGAAGGCAAUGCAGCUUGGAAAGCCAAUAACUGCCACAAGACUUUUGAGUGCAAGAAACUUCCCAUCGUAGGUGUUUCUGUCUUUAAUAUAUUAACACCAAUGGCUUUUUUUAAAGAUGAUAUAAUUCAGUGAUGCAUGCUAUCUUUCAGAGUGUAAGGUUUGAUUUUGUGGAUAACGCUGAGAUAAAAGACAUAACCUCAUUAGAUGCCAAAAACUUCCACUUCAACGUUAUCAGCGGCAAGAACAUGACCUUUGAUAACAUCAAGAUCAUCGCUCCAGCUGAAAGCCCCAACACUGACGGUAUCCAUUUGGGAAGAUGUGAGGGAGUCAAGAUCCUCAACACUAAGAUCGCCACAGGAGAUGACUGCAUCUCCGUGGGAGAUGGGAUGAAGAAUCUCCUCAUUGAGAAAGUUGUGUGCGGUCCAGGACACGGAAUCAGUGUUGGAAGCCUUGGAAGGUACGGAUGGGAGCAAGAUGUCACUGACAUUAACGUUAAGAACUGUACCCUCGAGGGAACCGACAACGGUCUGAGGAUCAAGACAUGGCCAUCUGCCGCUUGCACCACCACUGCUGCCGGUAUUCAUUUUGAGGAUAUCAUCCUUAACAAAGUUAGCAACCCAAUCCUCAUCGACCAGGAGUACUGCCCUUGGAACCAAUGCAACAAGAACGUAAGUAUCUUUUAUUAGAUUCUAUGUCUUGCCACUAUCACCGUAUUCUAUGAAAUUGGAUAAAUUGGCUCAGCAAACAUAUUAUUCUGAUGGUUUUCUAGAUAUUUAGCAUUCACCAUUUUGGUUGAGGUUACAUAUAUAUGAUUAUGAUUCCCAAAGUUUUUUUCUAUUUGCAGAAACCAUCAACAAUUAAGCUGGUGGACAUUACCUUCAGGAAUAUUAGAGGAACAUCAGGGAACAAGGACGCAGUGAAACUAUUGUGCAGCAAGGGACAUCCAUGUGAGAACGUUGAGAUUGGAGACAUUAACAUUGACUACACAGGACCUGACGGUCCACCCACUUUCGAGUGCACAAACGUCACACCUAAGCUUGUGGGAACCCAGAACCCAAAGGCUUGCGUUGGACCUGUGGUCAAGGCUCCUGGCAAAGAGUAAAAUGUUGAAGCUCAUAUCAACACACUAGGGCUUCCACAUCCAAUUUUGUUUAUUCUUUUUCUAAUUCUUUUUCAAGUCACGUAAGGAGACUUUUACAAAGCUGUAACAAAAAAAAUGUUUCUAUCGAUGCCAAC
rnacentral:lncRNA from 1 species